rnacentral:rRNA from 1 species
CGAAGGGGGCUAGCGUUGCUCGGAAUUACUGGGCGUAAAGGGCGCGUAGGCGGCACUGUUAGUCAGGCGUGAAAGUCCUGGGCUCAACCUGGGAACUGCGCUUGAUACGGCAGAGCUAGAGGAUGGAAGAGGCUCGCGGAAUUCCCAGUGUAGAGGUGAAAUUCGUAGAUAUUGGGAAGAACACCGGUGGCGAAGGCGGCGAGCUGGUCCAUUACUGACGCUGAGGCGCGACAGCGUGGGGGAGCAAACAGGAUUAGAUACCCUGGUAGUCCACGCCGUAAACGAUGUGCGCUGGAUGUUGGGUGGCCUAGCCACUCAGUGCGUAGCUAACGCGGUAAGCGCACCGCCUGGGGAGUACGGCCGCAAGGUUG